GCGGGGAUCGUACGGUAGGGACGGAGGAGCGCGCUUUCCGGUUAGGCGGCGCCAUUUUGUGCUCAGAGACGCUACAGCCGCCGCCGGUGAGACGGGGUGUCGGUGCCGGAGACUCUGGCAGGGUCGGGCGACUCGGGCCCUGGCUCGGGCGCUUCGGAGACCGGGACGCGGCAGCUCGGCAACUUCCCGGCGGAGCUGAACAAGCGGAACCUGUACACUGGCAGCAACAAGAGCGUCCUGAUGGAGCGGCUCAAGGUUGUCGGGGCCAAGGUGGUAACCAACGCCCGCAGUCCUGGGGCUCGGUGCUAUGGGUUUGUCACCAUGUCCACAUCUGAUGAGGCUACCAAGUGCAUCAGCCAUCUGCACAGAACUGAGCUGCAUGGAAGAAUGAUCUCCGUAGAGAAGAGCCAGCAGUAUAUGAUAACCUGUUGAAAAGCAGCUAGCGUGAGUCAAGAGCCCUGGAGAGCAGCUGCAUACACUUCAUGCUGACACAUGUGCCACCUCAAGUAAAUCCGCCACUACCUACGUGGGAGGAAUCACCAUGCUCAUUUCACAGCUGGAAACACAGGCUUAGCAUGAAGUAGUGACAAGUUAUAAUCCCAGCUCUGAUUCUAGAGCCUGGGCUUAACCACUGGGACACAUGUCUCCAUUAAAACCCAGAAAACUAGUCUCAUUUUGCUGCAUGGAAUGUAAGAUUUACCUCCAGAAGCAGGGAAAAAGGAAUCACGUGAGAGGCAUGAAAUUCCUCCCGAGGCAGAACAGCAUCCCCAAGACAGAGGGCAGGAACCUGGUACCCCCAGCCGCAUCCCAUAAUCGAGGGAGGAGGGCGAGAUUGAAGAGUGAAGCUUCUGCUAGAGUUGAGGAAAAGCUAACAGGGAAGAGACAUCAACUGUGCCACAACAACGGCCUCCCCACAGCCUUCCCUGCUGUCCCCAUGUUUUCACGUAAACCCACUAAAGAUCUGAGACUCACUCUGGGAAAUCCUCAGUCUACAUGUAAGAGACAGAAGACGAGAAUAAAACUGAGCUUAUUCUUCUCAUGUGCUAAUCCUGCAAUGAGAAUGA